GCUUAAAAUUGUACCAUUAAUCAAAAGCUAAGCAGGGUCGGGCCUGGCUAGUACUUGGAUGGGAGACCACCUAAGAAGACCAGGUGCUGUAGGCA
rnacentral:rRNA from 1 species